ACUCAAAGGAAUUGACGGGGGCCCGCACAAGCGGUGGAACAUGUGGUUCAAUUCGAUGCUACGCGAAAAACCUCACCAGGGCUUGACAUGUAAGAAGUAGUGAAAUGAAAGUGGAUCGACCCGUUAAGUCGGGAGCUUACACAGGUGCUGCAUGGCUGUCGUCAGCUCGUGUCGUGAGAUGUUGGGUUAAGUCCCGCAACGAGCGCAACCAUUGUCCUUUGUUGCAACCUUAUAUCUAGCUUGCUAGGUGUAGGAGCACUCUAAGGAGACUGCCUGGGAUAACCAGGAGGAAGGUGGAGAUGACGUCAAGUCAGUACGGCCUUUAUGCCCUGGGCUACACACGUGUUACAAUGGUUAUGACAAUGGGUUGCCAACCCGCGAGGGGGAGCUAAUCUCAAAAACGUAACCUCAGUUCAGAUUGAAGUCUGCAAUCCGACUUCAUGAAGCUGGAAUCGCUAGUAAUGGCAGAUCAGCACGCUGCCGUGAAUACGUUCCCGGGCCUUGCACACACCGCCCGU
rnacentral:rRNA from 1 species